rnacentral:rRNA from 1 species
CGGUAGCACAGAGAGCUUGCUCUCGGGUGACGAGUGGCGGACGGGUGAGUAAUGUCUGGGAAACUGCCUGAUGGAGGGGGAUAACUACUGGAAGCGGUAGCUGAUACCGCAUAACGUCGCAAGACCAAAGAGGGGGACCUUCGGGCCUCUUGCCAUCAGAUGUGCCCAGAUGGGAUUAGCUAGUAGGUGGGGUAACGGCUCACCUAGGCGACGAUCCCUAGCUGGUCUGAGAGGAUGACCAGCCACACUGGAACUGAGACACGGUCCAGACUCCUACGGGAGGCAGCAGUGGGGAAUAUUGCACAAUGGGCGCAAGCCUGAUGCAGCCAUGCCGCGUGUAUGAAGAAGGCCUUCGGGUUGUAAAGUACUUUCAGCGGGGAGGAAGGUGUUGUGGUUAAUAACCGCAGCAAUUGACGUUACCCGCAGAAGAAGCACCGGCUAACUCCGUGCCAGCAGCCGCGGUAAUACGGAGGGUGCAAGCGUUAAUCGGAAUUACUGGGCGUAAAGCGCACGCAGGCGGUCUGUCAAGUCGGAUGUGAAAUCCCCGGGCUCAACCUGGGAACUGCAUUCGAAACUGGCAGGCUAGAGUCUUGUAGAGGGGGGUAGAAUUCCAGGUGUAGCGGUGAAAUGCGUAGAGAUCUGGAGGAAUACCGGUGGCGAAGGCGGCCCCCUGGACAAAGACUGACGCUCAGGUGCGAAAGCGUAGGGAGCAAACAGG